rnacentral:lncRNA from 1 species
UAAAAACAACAUAUACCAAUAACCAAAUUUACAAUUUCGGCAACAGCUGUAGAAUUCCAUCUCCGUUUCCUUUUCCGUAAGCCGUUAGCGUUUGUCAAGACAUUUGAAUUACCCACGUUCAUAAUCUGUUAUUGAAAUGUAUGAAUGACACAAGAGAUUCACAGUUUUAACAACUUUCACUGUUGUUUUUUACUCUACAGAUGCCAACAGCACCCCGGAAUAUCCGACACAGCCACAGAUGCAGAAUCCAACACAAAACCUAACUACACAAGAUUCACCCACAACUUGCUUGAUCAGUGCCGUUACAGCCACAACAAUCCCCUCAACAUUCGCCAAACCACUGUCCAGCUUUACUCAGUGGUGGAUAUGGCUAGCGUCGGCAGUUGGAUGCGCAGUACUUCUUGUGUCAAUUGUUGUCAUAUGCAUCUUGACUCGCAAACCUGAAGAGAUCAUUUAUGAGAACACCAAACCAGUGGAAUCGAGCUGCUGGAGGCGAAACCGGACUAAGAUGGACAUCUGCGACCUGCCUUCGUCCAAAAAAACUGACACCAUUAAACCGCUAAGGAAGUACGACACUCUUUCAAGCAACAGAAUCCGAAGGCCAUAAGUCUUCCAUAUGAAAGAAUUACCUUCUGAAAACACAUUAAAUAUAUGAAAUACCUUACUGUACACACAUAUUUAAUUUUGUAAUGUAGCAUUUCCCGAUAGAUGGGAAGCUGUAAAUAUAAAGCUGUUUCUUUUUUCUUCAGAAAGAGAUACAUGAGAAAACCUGAUUUUUUUCCUUUAAUGACUUUCAAUUGUAUCAUACCGAAACAUUCUGUGGUUACAAAUAAACGUGAAAACCAC